UACGGAGGGGGCUAGCGUUGUUCGGAAUUACUGGGCGUAAAGCGCACGUAGGCGGCUUUGUAAGUUAGAGGUGAAAGCCCGGGGCUCAACUCCGGAAUUGCCUUUAAGACUGCAUCGCUCGAAUUGUGGAGAGGUAAGUGGAAUUCCGAGUGUAGAGGUGAAAUUCGUAGAUAUUCGGAAGAACACCAGUGGCGAAGGCGACUUACUGGACACAUAUUGACGCUGAGGUGGCGAAAGCGUGGGGAGCAAACAGG
rnacentral:rRNA from 1 species